GAUGAACGCUGGCGGCGUGCCUAAUACAUGCAAGUCGAGCGAACAGACGAGGAGCUUGCUCCUUUGACGUUAGCGGCGGACGGGUGAGUAACACGUGGGUAACCUACCUAUAAGACUGGGAUAACUUCGGGAAACCGGAGCUAAUACCGGAUAAUAUUUCGAACCGCAUGGUUCGAUAGUGAAAGAUGGCUUUGCUAUCACUUAUAGAUGGACCUGCGCCGUAUUAGCUAGUUGGUAAGGUAACGGCUUACCAAGGCAACGAUACGUAGCCGACCUGAGAGGGGGGUCGGCCACACUGGAACUGAGACACGGUCCAGACUCCUACGGGAGGCAGCAGUAGGGAAUCUUCCGCAAUGGGCGAAAGCCUGACGGAGCAACGCCGCGUGAGUGAUGAAGGUCUUCGGAUCGUAAAACUCUGUUAUUAGGGAAGAACAAACGUGUAAGUAACUGUGCACGUCUUGACGGUACCUAAUCAGAAAGCCACGGCUAACUACGUG
rnacentral:rRNA from 1 species